UUGGUUUGGUUUGGUUUUGGUUUGGUUUGGUUUUGGUUUUUUUGUUUUUGUUUUUUUGUUUUUGUUUUUGGUUUUUUGAGACAGGGUUUCUCUGUAUAGCCCUGGCUGUCCUGGAACUCACUUUAUAGACCAGGCUGGCCUCAAACUCAGAAAUCCACCUGCCUCUGCCUCUAAACAUUUCUCUUUAGAUACUGAGCUACUACGGAUUAAUUUUUAUUCUUCUGUUUUUCAGCCAUGACCUAAUUUAAAUGUUUAAAAGUAACUCAAAGGAAACAGUUCCAAGUGAAGCGUCCGUUCCCCACCUAACAUCCCUCGUUUUUGACUCUGGGGCUUAUUUAUCGAGAUGCUGUCUUCUGAAGACUUGCGGUGACCUCUGAGCCAUCCAUCACCGGAAGGUGUAGGAAAGGGACGUACUCAGAAAUGCCUGAUGACUUCUAAACGUCCCUCACCUCACGAGACC
rnacentral:lncRNA from 1 species